GCGAGAGUGGCGGAAUUGGUAGACGCACCGGACUUAGGAUCCGGCGCCUCUGUGCGUGGGAGUUCGAGUCUCCCCUCUCGCA
rnacentral:tRNA from 1 species